rnacentral:rRNA from 1 species
UCCUGAUGGCUCACAUGAAGUUUCGUGCCGUUCCGACCUCGUUUGAUACGGUUAUGGUUAACCACACGGCCCCUCGGGCCCGACCCGAGCCCAGUCAACGUUUUGACCCGAUCAAAUCGGCCCGUGACCCGAAACGACCAUACUUGGGCCCUACAACAGCCACGUAAAGUUUCGGGAUGAUCCGACGUUCUUUCAUGGGGUUACGGACAAUCCACGCCAAACAAGCGUCACGGGCCGACCGAGCCGGGCCAACGGGCCCUCGGGACCCGAAAACUGAAUUUUUUUUCAUCCAAACCCAUUAAAACACGUUACCGAGGUCUCACGCAAAAUUUCAUGCCAAUCCGACGUCGUUUGAUGGGGUUUUGAGAUAUUAUGAUUCCUCAAAAAUUUAAUGUCUGUUCCUGUCACUUAGCUUUUUGUGCAAAAUGUAUAUAUAGGGGAGGGGUGGGUGUUGAGCAGCCCAUGCCCGGGCAAGGCAUGCCAGCGCCCAAGCCAAAGGAGGCUGGUGGCGUGCGUAUAACAGCUCAAAUGCCCCAACGAUGACCGAGAACAAGCGCCCAUCUCCCCUCCUUCCCCCCCACCAAGCGCCCCUCCCCCCCCAUGUUGCCUGCCCACUCGCACAGCUACUCGUGAUUUCAUGCCCAGCGACUAGUGAAUGUGCCUCGACGACCAGCAAACCUCGAAAAUUAUGAUUCCUCGUAAAAUUAAUGUCUGUUCCUGUCACUUUACUUUUUGUGCAAAAUGUAUAUAUAGGGGAGACCAGGGGCUUGAGCAACCCCUGUGCCCAAGCAAGGGUCAGAUGGAAGCACACGAGACGCGAGGUUUAAAGCCUAUACAAGCAAGGCGUCUGUCUCCCCAAGCCCCAUUGCCUAUAAAACAAGCCCGAUGCCUUGUAAAUGCCCCACACGAUGCCUAUAAACGACAACGAUGUUUGCUAGUUAAUCGAUCGACGCCCCACACCUUGCAGCAUGUUGCCUAGUAAACAAGCCAUGCUGCCUUGGAAGCGCCCCACAUCAUGGCAUGUUGCCUAGCACGCUGCCCUUGUUUCCAGCACGGCGACCUGAAAGCGUGGCCUGACGACGUGCUUGCCUUCGAAAAUUAUGAUUCCUCAAAAAAUUAAUGUCUGUUCCUGUCACUUUACUUUUUGU